UAUCUUCCAUUCUCUAUUUCGGACUAUUACAUUGUGAGAGUAGACCUUGUAAUUUCAACUCCUUCUAAUUUGUAGAGUCAGCUAUGCUCAGAGGUUACUCCUGGCUCUGCACUCAGGAAUGACUCCAGGUUGUGCUCAGGGGACCUAUGGGAUGCCAGGACCGAACCCAGGUUGGCUGCAUGUAAGGCAAACACCCUCUCUGCAGUGCUAUUGCUCCCGCCCCUAUCUUGACAGAAGAGGAUUUCUGUUCUUUUGGGAAAAGGAUUACAGUAACAUAUGAGUGAGGCUCAUACUGAAUUGCAAAAGAGAAAAGAGUGCAAAACUGGUUAGAAAUGUAGCACUGUAUGCACCAUCUCAUGGAUAGAAAUAAAGGUAAAAUGGACAGAACAAAGAGGCAAAUGAAGAAGAUCUACAUUUUUUGCAUUGUGCUCCAAUCAUCUGCAGCAUGCUGAUCAAGUUGGAGACAUCAUUAAUUUCUCUUGUAAUCUUGCUUAAAUGGAUAAAUUUUAAAAGAACUGUACUCUGCUCUUCCUUUAGGGUUCAUACAGGCCAGAAGGUGAAAGUAAAAUGAAUACCUACAGAAUAAAUAAAUGCCAACUGUCAUGGCAAAAUAUUCCAGCAGAGCAUGAGUGACUAGUGGGAUGAAUGUAAGCAGCUCAAAGUUACACAGGAUGACGUAGAAAAAUCAUUAUUGCUCUGAUUUUUGAUAGUCAACAAGUGAAACUCACAUACAAUAGCUACAUUUCCUUAGUGGUGGUUUGUUUAAUUUGUUCUGUUUUGCUGCUUUUUCUUCCACUUUUUGUUCUUAGUUUUAAGGAUAAAUUCAUUGUUUGCAAUUUUUUCAUCUCUUCAACUCCCAUUUAGGCUCAUUUGUUUUUCAAUUUCUUGCUUUUUUCUACUUCAUUAUUAAGGAACUUGUCAUAUGUCAACCCUUAGGGGCCCAAGUAGCAGUUUCUUUGAUUCAUGAAAAGCCUAAUUUUACCCACAACUCUGGAGAUGAGGCCAGGUUUCCUUAAAAAAACAAACAACAAAACCCAAUAUUGCCUGUUUAUAUCCCUAAGGCUCAAAUAAUUAAAAAAGCUUAUUGUUUGAGGAAAGGUAGUUUCUAAUCAGCAAAACACAAGGAACAAAACCUGAUUUUCCCAAAUGAAAUUGCUGACAACAUGAACUCUUUGGAAAGAAGUGGAAUAUCUCUCUCUGUGGUGGUGGAAGUACCAUGUCCCUAGGCUGACAUCAUAGAAAAGCCUUUGUGCAUAAAUAGAGCGAGUUUUAAUAAAAUAAUAUUUAUGAUUCAGCCUUUUUAUUCCCUUUUAAGUAUCAAUCUGCAUCCUGGAGGAACAAAAAUAAAAGGAGUUGAUGUCUACAAUAUAACUAUUAAAGGGAGAUUUGCUCCACUGUUAUUUGGAUGUAAUUGGUACUGAGCAUCACAAUAUACUUGUAAUUGGGUCUGUACUUGUUCACUUCAAGGGUUCCAUGCUAUUUCUACUUGAACCCAUUUUUUUGAUACCGUUCAGCUCAGCAGUGCCAGCUAACUCUUGUUAUGCAGUUGAAAAACUGUGGCCAUUAAAAAUAGGAUACGGUGUGAUUUUGUUUUGCAGCACUGCAUGGAAAAUCAGUUGCUGUUCAUAACAGCUCUGUGGUUGGUUGAUUUAAAGCAGGGGGGUGACUUGGAAUUGACAAGCAGACAGUUUGUGAAAAGGGAUAUUGUAUCUUUAAGGCUUUCUGACUGAUUGUGUUUAACUGCGCCACACAGCAGGCAGUAAUUAGGCUGUAGCUUCACCGAGAGGCUUAAAGCACAGGCUCUGGUUCUCACUUUUCC